rnacentral:piRNA from 1 species
UAAUGAUAUGAAUGUGGUGUAGAGUUUA